GAUGAACGCUGGCGGCGUGCCUAAUACAUGCAAGUCGAGCGAACGGACGAGAAGCUUGCUUCUCUGAUGUUAGCGGCGGACGGGUGAGUAACACGUGGAUAACCUACCUUUAAGACUGGGAUAACUUCGGGAAACCGGAGCUAAUACCGGAUAAUAUUUUGAACCGCAUGGUUCAAAAGUGAAAGACGGUCUUGCUGUCACUUAUAGAUGGAUCCGCGCUGCAUUAGCUAGUUGGUAAGGUAACGGCUUACCAAGGCAACGAUGCAUAGCCGACCUGAGAGGGUGAUCGGCCACACUGGAACUGAGACACGGUCCAGACUCCUACGGGAGGCAGCAGUAGGGAAUCUUCCGCAAUGGGCGAAAGCCUGACGGAGCAACGCCGCGUGAGUGAUGAAGGUCUUCGGAUCGUAAAACUCUGUUAUUAGGGAAGAACACAUGUGUAAGUAACUGUGCACAUCUUGACGGUACCUAAUCAGAAAGCCACGGCUAACUACGUGCCAGCAGCCGCGGUAAUACGUAGGUGGCAAGCGUUAUCCGGAAUUAUUGGGCGUAAAGCGCGCGUAGGCGGUUUUUUAAGUCUGAUGUGAAAGCCCACGGCUCAACCGUGGAGGGUCAUUGGAAACUGGAAAACUUGAGUGCAGACGAGGAAAGUGGAAUUCCAUGUGUAGCGGUGAAAUGCGCAGAGAUAUGGAGGAACACCAGUGGCGAAGGCGACUUUCUGGUCUGUAACUGACGCUGAUGUGCGAAAGCGUGGGGAUCAAACAGGAUUAGAUACCCUGGUAGUCCACGCCGUAAACGAUGAGUGCUAAGUGUUAGGGGGUUUCCGCCCCUUAGUGCUGCAGCUAACGCAUUAAGCACUCCGCCUGGGGAGUACGACCGCAAGGUUGAAACUCAAAGGAAUUGACGGGGACCCGCACAAGCGGUGGAGCAUGUGGUUUAAUUCGAAGCAACGCGAAGAACCUUACCAAAUCUUGACAUCCUUUGACAACUCUAGAGAUAGAGCCUUCCCCUUCGGGGGACAAAGUGACAGGUGGUGCAUGGUUGUCGUCAGCUCGUGUCGUGAGAUGUUGGGUUAAGUCCCGCAACGAGCGCAACCCUUAAGCUUAGUUGCCAUCAUUAAGUUGGGCACUCUAAGUUGACUGCCGGUGACAAACCGGAGGAAGGUGGGGAUGACGUCAAAUCAUCAUGCCCCUUAUGAUUUGGGCUACACACGUGCUACAAUGGACAAUACAAAGGGCAGCGAAACCGCGAGGUCAAGCAAAUCCCAUAAAGUUGUUCUCAGUUCGGAUUGUAGUCUGCAACUCGACUACAUGAAGCUGGAAUCGCUAGUAAUCGUAGAUCAGCAUGCUACGGUGAAUACGUUCCCGGGUCU
rnacentral:rRNA from 1 species